GACGAACGCUGGCGGCGUGCUUAACACAUGCAAGUCGAACAGAAAGGCCCUGCUUUUGUGGGGUGCUCGAGUGGCGAACGGGUGAGUAACACGUGAGUAACCUGCCCUUGACUUUGGGAUAACUUCAGGAAACUGGGGCUAAUACCGGAUAGGAGCUCCUGCUGCAUGGUGGGGGUUGGAAAGUUUCGGCGGUUGGGGAUGGACUCGCGGCUUAUCAGCUUGUUGGUGGGGUAGUGGCUUACCAAGGCUUUGACGGGUAGCCGGCCUGAGAGGGUGACCGGCCACAUUGGGACUGAGAUACGGCCCAGACUCCUACGGGAGGCAGCAGUGGGGAAUAUUGCACAAUGGGCGGAAGCCUGAUGCAGCAACGCCGCGUGCGGGAUGACGGCCUUCGGGUUGUAAACCGCUUUCGCCUGUGACGAAGCGUGAGUGACGGUAAUGGGUAAAGAAGCACCGGCUAACUACGUGCCAGCAGCCGCGGUGAUACGUAGGGUGCGAGCGUUGUCCGGAUUUAUUGGGCGUAAAGGGCUCGUAGGUGGUUGAUCGCGUCGGAAGUGUAAUCUUGGGGCUUAACCCUGAGCGUGCUUUCGAUACGGGUUGACUUGAGGAAGGUAGGGGAGAAUGGAAUUCCUGGUGGAGCGGUGGAAUGCGCAGAUAUCAGGAGGAACACCAGUGGCGAAGGCGGUUCUCUGGGCCUUUCCUGACGCUGAGGAGCGAAAGCGUGGGGAGCGAACAGGCUUAGAUACCCUGGUAGUCCACGCUGUAAACGGUGGGUACUAAGUGGGGGGUCCAUUCCACGGGUUCCGUGCCGUAGCUAACGCUUUAAGUACCCCGCCUGGGGAGUACGGCCGCAAGGCUAAAACUCAAAGGAAUUGACGGGGCCCCGCACAAGCGGCGGAGCAUGCGGAUUAAUUCGAUGCAACGCGUAGAACCUUACCUGGGUUUGACAUGGAUCGGGAGUGCUCAGAGAUGGGUGUGCCUCUUUUGGGGUCGGUUCACAGGUGGUGCAUGGCUGUCGUCAGCUCGUGUCGUGAGAUGUUGGGUUAAGUCCCGCAACGAGCGCAACCCUUGUUCACUGUUGCCAGCACGUUAUGGUGGGGACUCAGUGGAGACCGCCGGGGUCAACUCGGAGGAAGGUGGGGAUGACGUCAAGUCAUCAUGCCCCUUAUGUCCAGGGCUUCACGCAUGCUACAAUGGCUGGUACAGAGAGUGGCGAGCCUGUGAGUGUGAGCGAAUCUCGGAAAGCCGGUCUCAGUUCGGAUUGGGGUCUGCAACUCGACCUCAUGAAGUCGGAGUCGCUAGUAAUCGCAGAUCAGCAACGCUGCGGUGAAUACGUUCCCGGGGCUUGUACACACCGCCCGUCAAGUCAUGAAAGUUGGUAACACCCGAAGCCGGUGGCCUAACCGUUGUGGGGGAGCCGUCGAAGGUGGGACUGGUGA
rnacentral:rRNA from 1 species